rnacentral:rRNA from 1 species
UACGGGGGGAGCAAGCGUUGUUCGGAUUUACUGGGCGUAAAGGGCGCGUAGGCGGCCACUGCAAGUCAGUUGUGAAAUCUCCGGGCUUAACCCGGAAAGGUCAACUGAUACUGCAGGGCUAGAGUGCAGAAGGGGCAACUGGAAUUCUCGGUGUAGCGGUGAAAUGCGCAGAUAUCGGGAAGAACACCCGUGGCGAAGGCGGCUCUCUGGGACGGUACUGGACGCCGAGACGCGAAAGCGUGGGGAGCGAACAGG